UAAUGGUAUUUUCACUGUGCUUAAACGGCUGUGGGUAACUUAAGUUACCCACAGCCCAAGAUGGGGCCGCCUUGCGUCGGUUAGAUACUUUUCUUCUAUAGAAUAACAAUACCACGAAUGCAUCAAUUAAACAACUGAAUUUAAAAGUUGUAUUAAUCGUUUAGGGAAACCCCUAAACUGGAAAGGUGAUUAAAUUCUACAAAAUAAACGAUCACAGCACGAUUUUAAAAAACACUUAGGCUGUCCGUAACUUCAAAACAACUUGUCCGUAACUUUUUUCAUCAUACCAAUAGAGAUGUCCGUAACUUUCAAAGAAUCGACAUACGCGGAUGUAAUGUUUAAACUGAUGAUAGAGAUUGCAUCGAAUACAUAUUCACAAAACGAAGUAGAUGUCUAGUAUGAUAUAAUUCAUUGUAUCGAUGGAAGACAAAAUUGGGAAAAAUAUGAAAAAAAAUCACGAUAAAUCCGCAAAACUCGGGUCUCAUUUUGUAUAACGUCGGGGUACCCGAAUCGCCUAGUUCGGAGGGUUGUUUCCGAUCAUAGCAGAUAAACUGUUGAAACAUCAUUGUUCGUUUUUAUUUUUGAACAAGUAGACUACACAAGUAUUUUUUACACAUACAUGUAGCAUGUAUACACUUACUGAUUUUCUGCCAGCAACGACAAGGGUAGCGUGAAUCCGGGAUUUUGGAGGGGAACCCAAAUUGCCCAGGCAUGCAGUGGAUAGACUAUACGAGACUUAAGUGCACAAACUUUUCCCGUCUUUUUGAAAAAGCCAAAAACACUUUUCUCUCAUCCCCACAAAAACAAAUCCCAUCAGCAUUGACAGUAAAAUAAAAGGGGUGUCAAUCUGGACACACUGGGACGUUGCGCACGGUGAUAUUGCGGCACCCUGGCCAAGAUUUACAGUAAAUGGGAAAACUUAAAAAAAAAAAAAAGGACAUUUUGUAUAAAUGAAUAAACCUAGUUUUACAGCUAGCUGCAUAUUUCAUUUGUAUGCAAGUUGCAUUAAAUCUCAUUAAACUGAAUAAAACUAAAAGACACAAUAGGUAAAAGUCAGUGACAAUAAAAGGAAAAGAGCAGUCAACAUAGUGUAACAAUUCGACAUAGUAUAUAAAAAUAUAAAUAACUACGUAGGACAACAGGGUAAUUUAAUAGUCUAACAACCCCUGAUAACAUACAAAGAGAGAAAAAAAAAAACAUACUAGGAAACAUAUUCAAAAAAUCAUAACACUAUAACUAACUGGUGGGAUGUAUAAAUACCGAGCCGCGUCAAAGAGUAUUCAUCAAAAAUACACAUAGAAAGAAACAGAGGUGAAGGUAAACCGCAAACAUAUAAUUAAACUCAAAACAUUAAAGAGUAUGGAAAAGCCUUGGUCUGACAAGCGAAAAACGUCGAUAAGACGCACAUCAGUAAAUAAAAGUUCAAACCAUAACCAGGAUGGAGUACCACAAACCCC
rnacentral:lncRNA from 1 species